rnacentral:rRNA from 1 species
UGCGUAGGCGGACUAAUAAGUCAGUGGUGAAAUCUCUCGGCUCAACCGGGAAACUGCCAUUGAUACUGUUAGUCUUGAGUUCGGUUGAGGUAGGCGGAAUGUGUAAUGUAGCGGUGAAAUGCUUAGAUAUUACACAGAACACCAAUUGCGUAGGCAGCUUACUAGACCGACACUGACGCUGAGGCACGAAAGCGUGGGUAGCGAACAGGAUUAGAUACCCUGGUAGUC